rnacentral:rRNA from 1 species
UACGUAGGGUGCGAGCGUUGUCUGGAAUUACUGGGCGUAAAGAGCUCGUAGGUGGUUUGUCGCGUUGUUCGUGAAAACUCACAGCUUAACUGUGGGCGUGCGGGCGAUACGGGCAGACUGGAGUACUGCAGGGGAGACUGGAAUUCCUGGUGUAGCGGUGGAAUGCGCAGAUAUCAGGAGGAACACCGGUGGCGAAGGCGGGUCUCUGGGCAGUAACUGACGCUGAGGAGCGAAAGCGUGGGGAGCGAACAGG